CCUACGGGUGGCAGCAGUGGGGAAUAUUGGGCAAUGGACGCAAGCCUGACCCAGCAACGCCGCGUGCAGGAAGAAGGCUUUCGGGGUGGAAACUUGUUUUCUGAGGGACGAAGAAAGAGACGGUACCUCAGGAAUAAGACACGGCUACCAACGAGCCAGCAGCCGCGGUAAGACGGAGGUUGCAAGCGUUAUCCGGAUUUAAUGUGUGUAAGGGGCGAGUAGGCGGGAAGGCAAGUCAGAUGUGAAAACUCAGGGCUCAACUCUGAGCCUGCAUUUGAAACUGUUUUUCUUGAGUGCUGGAGAGGCAAUCGGAAUGCCGUGUGUAGCGGUGAAAUGCGUAGAGAUACGGAGGAACACCAGUGGCGAAGGUGGAUUGCUGGACAAUAACUGACGCUGAGGCGCGAAAGCGUGGGGAGCAAACAGGAUUAGAUACCCCGGUAGUC
rnacentral:rRNA from 1 species